GAACGCUGGCGGCGUGCUUAACACAUGCAAGUCGCGCGUGAAAGGACUUCGGUCCGAGUAAAGCGGCGCACGGGUGAGUAACGCGUGGAUGAUCUACCCAUGAGUUAGGAAUAACGGCUGGAAACGGUCGCUAAUACCAAAUACGCUCCGAUUUCAACUUCGGGGGAAAGGUGGCCUCUGCUUGCAAGCUACUGCUCAUGGAUGAGUCCGCGUCCCAUUAGCUAGUUGGUGGGGUAACGGCCCACCAAGGCGACGAUGGGUAGCCGGUCUGAGAGGAUGACCGGCCACACUGGGACUGGAACACGGCCCAGACUCCUACGGGAGGCAGCAGUGGGGAAUAUUGCGCAAUGGGCGAAAGCCUGACGCAGCGACGCCGCGUGAGGGAUGAAAGGUCCUCGGAUCGUAAACCUCUGUCAGGAGGGAAGAACCGCCACGGUGCUAAUCAGCCGUGGUCUGACGGUACCUCCAAAGGAAGCACCGGCUAACUCCGUGCCAGCAGCUGC
rnacentral:rRNA from 1 species